AGGAAAAGUGAAAGCUUAAAACUGGCCGCCGGUGCUCUAUUCUGUAUAAUCGUGUUCGUGGGUUAAAUUCUAUUGUCACUACCUUCAGCUAUUCUGUUGAAGGUCGAAACGAAAGGGGCAAUGAUUAUAAUGAGAGAGGCCUUUAGUAGGAAAUACCCAAUUCCAAUUCCAUCUCAAAAUCAAGAAAAUAAGAAGAAAAAAAAAUAUAGGUCAGAAUUUGAAGGUGCCGCCAUCCCUUUUCAACGAAGGGGUUUGGCUUUGGUAUCUCAUAUUCUGCCGUCCUCUUCUUUCUCCGCUUCAUCUUUCCGUCCCUUCAAAUUGAAUUGAGUUUUUUCCUACUGUGAUAUGAGCCCCGAAACUUUACGAAUUCUUGAUUUUUAUGAAAUUUGUUUUUUCUUUAAGAUCUGUUGUCGUUUUUUUGCACUUAUUUGAUGUUUGGAUGGGGAAACAGAUGCAUGUUGUUUUCUCCUUGAAGAAUCGGUGCGUAUAUAAAAAGCUUGAUUAACAUGUUUUCAGAAAUUUGGUGAUUUUGUUGUAAUUGAGCAGCGGUCAGGCAACCGUAGGGAUGGAAUCCGCAGAUGCUGAGUUUUUUUUCCUACUGUGAUAGAUCUUUCAAAAUUAACACUUGAUAUGCUCCGUAACUUUUCAUUUUCUUUACGAAUGUUAAUUUUUAUGAAAUUUGUUUUUGCUAUCGGUCUUGAUUUGAAACUAUACGUUGGCGGAUAAAUGUGUGUACCUGGUAUUGGUAUUGGUGGGCUAUUGGUCUUGAUUCGAAACUAUGCAUUGGCGGAUAAAUGUGUGUACCUAAUAUCGGUAUUGGUUGGCUAUCGGUCUUGAUUCGAAACUAUGUGUUGGCGGAUAACUGUGUGUACCUUUUAUUGGUAUUGGUUGGCUAUCGGUCUUAUGUGUGUACUUGGUAUCAUUAUUGGUGGGCUAUCAGUCUUGAUUCGAAACUAUGCGUUGGCGGAUAAAUGUGUGUACCUGGUAUAGGUAUUGGUGGGCUAUCGGUCUUGAUUCGAAACUAUGCAUUGGUGGAUAAAUGUGUGUACCUAAUAUCGGUAUUGGUUGGCUAUCGGUCUUGAUUCGAAACUAUGUGUUGGCGGAUAAAUGUGUGUACCUUGUAUUGGUAUUGGUUGGCUAUCGGUCUUGAUUCGAAACUAUGCGUUGGAGGAUAAAUGUGUGUACCUGGUAUUGGUAUUGGUGGGCUAUCGGUCUUGAUUCGAAACUAUGCAUUGGCGGAUAAAUGUGUGUACCUUGUAUUGGUAUUGGUUGGCUAUCGGUCUUGAUUUGAAACUAUGCAUUGGCGGAUAAAUGUGUGUACCUGGUAUUGGUAUUGAUGGGCUAUCAGUAUUGAUUCGAAACUAUGCGUUGUCGGAUAAAUGUGUGUACCUGGUAUUGGUAUUGGUGGGCUAUCGGUCUUGAUUCGAAACUAUGCGUUGGCGGAUAAAUGUGUGUACCUUGUAUUGGUAUUGGUUGGCUAUCGGUCUUGAUUCGAAACUAUGCGUUGGCGGAUAAAUGUGUGUACCUUGUAUUGGUAUUGGUGGGCUAUCAAUCUUGAUUCGAAAUUAUGCGUUGUCGGGUGUGGUAUACUGGAAAUCAUAUCUCACCAUUUUUAUGGUGUCCUAUUUUUUCAUGCAUAUGGUAUAUUGUUAGAAAUUGGCUCAGAAUUUUCACGAUGAAAAAGUAUUCAAACAUCAAGGAUGUCUUAGAGGAACAAAAAGAAUUGGAUAAACUUCUGACUGACUUUUCCGUAAUAAUGUUUUCACAUUUUAUUUUGUUCCAGAAUUGGAUCAACUGCUGACUGACUCUUUCCCAAUAAUGUUUUCACAUUUCAUUUUGUUCCAUAAUUUGAAUUUUCAUAGUGUUGAUUCAGCUCUAUGAUGGAACCAAUUUGUUUGGUGUGGAUAUUGGUAGAGUCAUCAGAUAAGCCUAGAUAGUUGAUCUUUUUCAGUUGAUGGGAUCUGUGGGUACUUUAAUUUGGUCGGAUAGUGGAUGAAGUCUGCUGUGUGGAUCAGGCUGUUUUGAUUGUGGUUGUAACUGGAUCAGAAAAUCAGUAGUUGACUCUCACUAUUUUAGAGCAUCCUGAUAGCAUUUUGCAGCAAUUUUAAUCUUGUGUGGUACUGGUGGUUUAAGCUGACUGGAGUAGUUUUGCUUUGAAGCAUAGCUGUCCUGCGCAGGCUCGCAUAGUGGUUUUUGUGCAGCUUUGUACUUGUCAAUAGCUUGGGAUGAUUUUGGUGUUAUAGUGGGAAAGCUUGGCACAUUUGAAGCGGUUCACCGCUAGAAUCGAUAACGGCAGAGUAUUUUCUAGGAUAGUCGGCAUAAUUUGGUACACUUCCAAGGGAUCCUAAAGAAUUAAAGUAAUCUCUUGUCGAGCUGGAUAAAACUAAAGAUAAAGGCAUUGUUUAGUAAUCGGAUAUCCAAUACCUAAUGGACAUGGCCCAAUUGGCCGACAAAGUUCCACAAAUCGAACAAUUAAAGGCUUAGAAGGUCAAAACGAUAAAGUUUAGUAAAAAGAAAGUAACUUAUGGCGAGAUAGAUGAUGCAGAAAAUGCUUUUGACUCAGAUUAUGAGUACGUCGAAGAUGGCUGAUGUCAAAACCCUACCGGAACUUAUGGAAGAGGAGGCUCGGAGGCAAGAUAAACUCGUGUCCAAUUUGACCAACAUUAUUCAAGUGAAAAACAAGCACUUAUUUGAGAUUGAAGCAAGAUGCACCUAGACUAGACUACGGAAAAUAUGAAUUCUGCUAUGACAGAAAACAAUUUACUCAUUCUUAUAAUAAAGAGAUGAAGAAAAUACAGGCAAGUGCUAAGGAUCACUUCCAAAGGAUUUUUAAUGAUCACAAAAAGCUUAAAUCGAAACUGGAAUUUCAGAAAAGUGAGCUUGAUUUGCGGAGAAUUGCUUUGGAAAAACGUGAAGCACAUAAUGAAAGUGAGAGAAAAAAGUUGACACUGAGCCAUUCCUUGAAGCUAUGAAGCAAAGAUAUAAUGAGGAAGCCGAAGACAAAGCUACAGAACUAUGUUCAUUGUGGGAAGAGUAUAUAAAAGACCCAAAUUGGCAUCCGUUCAAAGUUGUCAUGAUUGACGGGAAAGAAAGAGUAUGUUUCUGUUAAACAUGGUUCUCUUUUUAUCUAUUUGGCCUUUUGAACCUAUAAUUCUGUCACUUUUUGUUAUCUCAGGGGCUUAAUGGUGUCGAGCCCUGUUUGGAAAUGUCAUAGCGGAUCAAUAGGAGAAAGAAAGAAUAGACAACCAUGAAUUAAAGAUGAGUAUAGAAGUAGGGGUUUCAAUACGAUUCGAGUCAAUCCUUUAUGGAAUUACAGAGGUCUCUCUGGAACUGUUCUUGUGGAUUCAAUAAAAACUGGCAUGACUUAGAUAAUGCACUUGCAUUUUAAAAAGCGUAUGCGUUAGAACAUCAUGGGAAAAAGGAUUGGUUUGUUAAUACCGGGCCGAAGACGGGUCUUUAUGGAUGGGUUGCCCGAGCAGAUGAUAAACUCGUGUCCAAUUGACCAACAUUAUUUAAGUUAAAAACAAGCACUUAUUUGAGAUUGAAGCAAGAUGCACCAAGACUACGGCGAAAAUGAAUUCUGCCAUGACAGAAAAAGAUUUACUCAUUCAAUAUUAUAAUGAAGAGAUGAAGAAAGUACAGGCAAGUGCUAAGGAUCACUUCCAAAGGAUUUUUAAUGAUCACGAAAAGCUUAAAUCGCAACUAAAAUCUCAGAAAAGUGAGCUUGAAUUGCGGAGAAUUGCUUUGGAAAAACGUGAAGCACAUAAUGAAAGUGAAAGAAAAAAGUUGGCAGAGGAGAUUGAGGAGGUCUUUUGGACGAAGUCCUCUUUGGUUAAAUGGGAGUAGAAGAUCAGAUUUGAGAGGAGACAAGUGAAACAGUUCAUGGUGGUGGAAAGAGUAAUCCAUAACUUUUGGGCAUUUGUGGCAUGUAUCUGCAGAACAAUAUUUUAUUAAAACAGAGUUAUAUGGCCAAGUUCUUAGAAAAUAGGCUUCAUUCUAAUGCUCAUUGAACAAAGUUUGAAAUUGUUUGGUUCACAUAAAAAUAUCAUUGUAUGAGUUUAAAAAAAUUAAAAAAUAGUGUCAUGAUUCAGUAAUAAAGAAAUUAAAAUACAUACAGAUAUUAGAUUGAUAUAUGAAAAAAUCAUAAAUUUCACUCACAAUUGAAUAAUCAGAAAAAUGAAGUACCACAACUAUAGUACAUGGUAUCCGAUAAAUGUGUGUACUUGGUAUUAGUGGGCUAUCUGUCUUGAUUUGAAACUAUGUGUUGGCGAAUAAAUGUGUGUACCAGGUAAUUGUAUUGGUGGGCUAUCAGUCUUGAUUCGAAAUUAUGCGUAGGUGGAUAAACGUGUGUUCCUGGUAUUGGUGGGCUAUCGGUUUGAUUCGAAAUUAUGCGUUGGCGGAUAAAUGUAUGUACUUGGUAUUGGUAUUGGUGGGCUAUCAAACUUGGAUCGAAAUUAUGUGUUGGCAGAUAAAUGUGUGUACUCGGUAAUGGUAUUGGUGGGCUAUCAAUUUGAUUCGAAAUUAUGCGUUGGCGGAUAAAUGUGUGUACCUGGUAUUGGUAUUGGGGGGCUAUCGGUCUUGAAUCGAAACUAUGUGUUGGCGGAUAAAUGUGUGUACCCGGUAUUGGUAUUGGUGGGCUAUCGAUCUUGAUUCAAAACUAUGCGUUGGCGGAUAAAUGUGUGUACCCGAUAUUGGUAUUGGUGGGCUAUCGGUCUUGAUUCAAAACUAUGUGUUAGCGGAUAAAUGUGUGUACCCAGUAUUGAUAUUGGUGGGCUAUCGGUUUUAAUUCGAAACUAUGCGUUGGCGGAUAAAUGUUUGUACCCGAUAUUGGUAUUGGUGGGCUUUGGUCUUCAUUUGAAACUAUGCGUUAGCGGAUAAACGUGUGUACGUGGUAUUAGUAUUGGUGGGCUAUCAGUCUUGAUUUGAAACUAUGUGUUGGCGGAUGAAUGUGUGUACCUGGUAUUGGUGGGCUAUUGGUCUUGAUUCAAAACUAUGCGUUGGCGGAUAAAUGUGUGUACCUGGUAUUGGUAUUGGUGGGCUAUCAGUCUGUAUUCGAAACUAUGCGUUGGCGGAUAAAUGUGUGUACUUGGUAUUGGUAUUGGUGGACUAUCGGUCUUGAUUCGAAAUUAUGGGUUGGCGGAUUAAUGUGUCUACCUGGUAUUGAUAUUGGUAUUGAUGGGCUAUCGGUCUUGAUUCAAAAUUAUACGUUGGCGGAUAAAUGUGUGUACCUGAUAUUGGUAUUGGUGGGCUAUUAGUCUUGAUUCGAAACUAUACGUUGGCGGAUAAAUGUGUGUACCCGGUAUUGGUAUUGGUGGGCUAUCGGUCUUGAUUCAAAAUUAUGCGUUGGUAGAUAAAUGUGUGUACCUGGCAUUGAUAUUGGUGGGCUAUCGGUCUUGAUUUGAAACUAUGCGUUGGCGGAUAAACGUUGUUUACCUGACAUUGGUAUUGGUGAGCUAUCAGUCUUGAUUCGAAACUAUGCGUUGGCGAAUAAAUGCGUGUACCUGGUAUUGGUAUUGGUGGGCUAUCGGUUGAUUCAAAAUUAUGCGUUGGCGGAUAAAUGUGUGUACCUGGCAUUGGUAUUGGUGGGCUAUCGGUCUUGAUUCGGAUCAACUGCUGACUGACUGUUUCACAAUAAUGUUUUCGUAUUUCAUUUUGUUCCAGAAUUGGAUCAACUGCUUACUGACGACUGUUUCACAAUAAUGUUUUUCACAUUUCAUUUUGUUCCAGAAUUGGAUCAACUGCUGACUGACUGUUUCACAAUAUUUUUACUUUUCAUUUUGUUCCAGAAUUUGGAUCAACUGCUGAUUGACGGUUUCACAAUAAUGUUUUCACAUUUCAUUUUGUUCCAGAAUUGGAUCAACUGCUGAUUGACUGUUUCACAAUAAUGUUUUCACGUUUCAUUUUGUUCCAAAAUUUAGAUUGUCAUAGUGUUGAUUCAACAAUAUGAUGGAACCAGUUUGUUUGGUGUGGAUAUUGGUAGAGUCAUCAGAUAAGCCUAGACGUUUGAUCUUUUUCAGUUGAUGGGAUCUGUGGGUACUUUAAUUUGGUCGGGUAGUGGAUGAACUCUGCUGUGUGGAUCAGGCUGUUUUGAUUGUGGUUGUUACUGGAUUAGAAAAUCGGUAGUUUACUCUCGCUGUGUUAGAGCAUCCCUACAGCAUUUUGCAGUGAUUUUAAUUCUGUGGUACUGGUGGUUUAAGCUGACUAGAGCAGUUCUGCUUUGAAGCAAAACUGUCCUGCGCAGGCUCGCGUCGCGGUUUUUGUACAGUUGUGUACUUGUCUAUAGCUUGGGAUGAUUUUGGUUUUACAGUGGGAAAGCUUGGCACAUUUGGAGCGGUUCACCGCUAGAAUCAAUAACGAUAAAGUAUUUUCUAGGAUAGUCACAUAAUUUGGUUCACUUCCAAGUGAUCCUAAAGAAUUAAAGUGAUCUCUAGUACAGAAAGAUGUUGCACGACAGUUUUCGAACUGCUAUUAUUGUCGAGCAAUAUGGAUUCAGUUGAUAAUUUGACUGGAAUGAGCAAAGCACUGAAUAAAACUGAAGAUAAUGGCAUUGUUUAUUUCCACUUUCCAAUCAGAGGCUUGAUUGGUUAAGAGCACUAAGGAAAUUUUGAGCUUGGUUGAUCUUGGAAUAACAGUCCUGGCACAUUAUGCCAAUCACCUAUCAAGAGGUUUUGUAGAAUUAAUGUCAUACUGGGUUGCUAGUUUUAGUCUAGGUGUGUCUGGUUGCUUGCUUGCCUUGGAUCUAUGUUAGUUAUAAAUAAAUUACUUUUUGGCUUUUAAUUUUUUUUUACUUCAUUUUCACUAUUUUUAUUCUUUUAAUUUGAUGAAAGAAGUGCUUCAAAUAGUAAUCAAUACUGAGAAAGGUUCAGGUUAAGCAUUGAUCCUAGAAAUUGGUUAGAUUGUGUGAUUAUCGAAAUAGAGAUUGCUCUUAUUGUCUUCCAAUAAACACUAGUAAAUUUGACUUUACCUACUCAUUUGAUUUGGCUUAAAUGACUAAAAAGGGGGCAAACUCUGGAUUCUUCCACCGAUGUGUAAUGAUUAGAAGGAAGACAAAUGAGAUAUGUAGCUUAGAGUCUCAAGAUGCUUUGAUAAGUGGGGUUCAAGAAAUAAAACAAUAAAUUUAUGAUCACUUCUCAAAAGUGUUUCAGAGGCAAAACGGUGAAUAGACCAGUUCUAAAUGAGUUUGAGUUUAGAAAGAUCAAAGCGUAGGAUAAUAUUGUGCUUACAGGGGAAUUUUUAGAGGAAGAUAUUUGAAGACAGUUUGGGAUUGUGAUUGUUCGAAGAAUUUAGGUCCAGAGGUUCAGAUGAUGUAUCGUUUGGAUUUAUUAAAGAGUUCUGGGAUGUGAUUAAGAGUGACUUCAUUAGAUUAAUUGGAGAGUUUCAUAUGAAUGGGAGGAUAGUUCGUGGUGCUAGAUUGCAUUCUUAUAGCAAAUGAGUUGGUAGACGAUGCUAGGCGUAGAAAAAAAUUUUGGUGUUGGUAAAUGGGAGACCAACUAAAGAAUUUGUAGUCGGGAUAGGUCUUAGGCAAGGGGACCCGUUGUCUCUGUUUUUGUUACUGAUAGCGGCAGAGGGUCUGAAUCUAAUGAUGUCCAAAAGUGUAAAAAAGAACCUUUUUGACGGAUAUCAGUUUGGAAAUGGCGAGGUGAAGAUUUCACAUAUUCAAUACGCAUAUGAUACAACUAUAGUAUGUGAGAGAAGCUGGAAGAAUAUCUUGGCAGUUAAGGCAAUCUUGCAGUUAUUUGAAUUGGUGUCUGGGUUGAAAGUGAAUUUUCACAAGAGUUCGUUAACAGGGGUUAAUUUAAAACAAUCUUGGCUGGAGGAGGCAACAAUUGCUUUAAAUUGUAAAGUGGGGGAGUAAACUUUUAGUAUUUAGGGCUGCCGGUGGGAAGCAAUCAUCGGAGUGAACGAGAGUGGAUACCCGUGGUGGAAACAGUUAGAAAUAGUAGUCUUCGUGGAACAAUUAACAUAUUUCAGUGGGUGGCUGUAUUAUCCUACUGAAAGUUGUCUUGUAUGCCUUACCGGUCUACUAUCUUUCUUCAAAGCUUCAACAUGUAUUAUCGCUAUGCUAGAAUCUACUUUUAAAUUUUUUCUGUGGGGUGGAGGGAUAGAAAGUAGAAAAAGUGAAUUGGGUUAAGUGGGAGAAGGUGUGUCGUGCGAAGGAAGAAUGGGGUUUGGGGAUAAAAUCCUUAAGAGAUUUAAUUUGGCCUUAUUGGGAAGUAGAGAUAAGAGAUGGGAGACAUGUGUGGAUUAAUAGAUGGCAUGGAAUGGUUGUUGAGGAUAACAAGAAGUUAGAGGAAGAAAUUAUAGAAAAGGUGCAAAGAGUCAGAAUGAGAGUUGACACGAAGGAUAGAUGGAGAUGGAUAAAAAACGAGUAUUCUGUCAAAGAAGCUUAUGUAGUGAUCAUUGAUGGCCGGGAAGCAGAAUCUAAUGAAGAUAGGUUUUUUCUGAUGCUUGGUGUAAUUUGGUGCCGCCAAAAGUCUUCGCUUUUGUCUAGAGAUGUAGCACAACAAAGUCCCGACGAGAGAUAAUUUGAUCAAAAGAGGCAUCUUGGUUGAAUCUCGAAAUUCUCGCGUGUUUGGCUACGGAAGAGAGGAGAGUGUUGAGCAAUUGUUCUUCUAAUGUCUGAUAGAUUUUGAGGCUUGGAACGAGAUCCUAAGAUGGAUGAAUUGUCACAGGGGGCUGCAUAAUUCCGCAGCUUCAAACUUUUUUCAGUUCAGAUGGCUGUUUGUGGGGGCAAUGUCAUCAUGGAGAGGUAUUUAGUAAUUUGGUUUGUAUUCAUUUGGAUUUAGUUUGAGUAGCGUAUCUCUAAGGAUUCGGUUGCAUGGUGUGGUGUAGGUUGCUGUUAGGGAGAGGGUCUGGUUUUUGCCUCUGCUUAACUGUUUUAUUCCAGUGUUGCAUUCUUAUAGCUCGGGAUGAUUUUGGUGUUACAGUGGGAAAGCUUGGCACAUUCGGAGCGGUUCACCGCUAGAAUCGAUAAAGGCAGAGUAUUUUCUAGGGUAGUCAGCAUAAUUUGGUUCACUUCCAAGGGAUCCUAAAGAAUUAAAGUGAUCUCUUGAACAAAAAGAUGUUGCACGACAGUUUUGGAACAUUGUGAGCUGUGUUGGUUUUGGAAUAUCAAUCCUGGCACAUUAUGCCGAUCACCAAUCAAGAGGUUUUCAGAAUUAAUGUGAUACUGGUUUGCUGGUUUUAGUCUAGGUGGUGUCAGGUUUCUUGCUUGCUUGCCUUGGGAUCUAUUUUAGUUAUAAAUAAAUUACUUCUUUGGUUUUUAAAUUUUUUUUACUUCAUUUUCACUAUUUUUAUUCUUUUAAUUUGAUGUAAGAAGUGCUUCAAAUAUUAAUCAAUAUUCAAUACUGAGAAAGGUUGCAGGUUAGCAUUGAUCCUAAAAAUUGGUUAGAUUGUGUCAUUAUCGAAAUCGAGAUUGCUUGAUUUAAAAGAUUUGGCAUAUACAUGAAAUUGAACGUUAAAUCAAAAUCAAGUAAAAUUGGUUGAAAGAUUUUAUGUUUGAAUCUAGUUUUGUAGGAAUGAUUAAGAUUUGGAAGUAUAGUCGGAAACAUUGA